AUCACCCAUAUUAUCGAUACCAACUAGCAACAUACAUAGUGAAGUAUACUAGAAACAACUUAGCACCAAUGGCAGCCAAGAUCUUUGCCCUCCUUGCCCUCCUUGCUCUUUCAGCAAGCGCUGCUACCUCGACUAUUAUUCCACAAUACUCACAACAAUACCUCUCUCUGGCGACAGCCGCGAGAUUUCAAUACCCAACUAUACAACCCUACAUGCUACAAGAGGCCAUUGCAGCAAGCAUCUUACAGUCAUUAGCAUUUACCCUCCAACAACCAUAUGCCCUAUUGCAGCAACCAUCCUUAGUGCAUCAGUAUCUCCAAAGAAUUGCGACACAACAACUACAACAACAAUUGCUACCAACAAUCAAUCAAGUAGUUCCAGCGAACCCUGCUGCUUACCUCCAUCAACAAUAGUUUCUUCCAUUCAAUCAACUAGCUGGGGUGAACCCUGCUGUCUACUUGCAGGCACAACAUCUACUACCAUUUAACCAACUUGUCGGGAGCCCUGAAACCUUCUUACUGCAACAACAGUUGCUGCCAUUCCAUCGGCAUGCUAUGGCAAACAUUGCUGCUUUCUUGCAACAACAAUAGUUGUUGCCAUUUUACCCACAUGUGGUGGGAAACAUUACUGCCUUCUUGCAACAGCAACAAUUGCUGCCAUUCUACCCACAGAAUGUGGCAAACAUUGUUGCCUUCUUACAACAACAACAAUUGCUUCCAUUUAGCCAACUUGCUUUGACGAAUCCUACCUCCUUAUUGCAGCAGCUGUCACACCCGGUUUUAGAAGGCAAACCGAAUGCGAACCAUGUACGUGCCAGGAUCAGUUAUUCACGUACACAGCAGUUACAUAACAUGGACAUCAUCACACAGUGCUCAAAAUAGUAUUAAGAAGGGAAAUAGUCGAUUACAUCAUACGUUUGAGACGUCCAUAUAGUUCUUACAAUAAAUCAAAGUGCGGAAAAGAAACGUAGAUAACCGCGGCCUUCACAGGCAGCCGACUGGGGGUUGCCGCUAACCCACAACUAGAACUCGUCGUAGUCUUGGAACUCCUGGAAGUCACCUUCCACAGCUUCAUCUUCGCCUGAGCAGUGGUUGCAAUGCUGACAACCUGGGGAUGGGGGGGGGGGGGGGUUUGGUGUGUAGAGCAAGGGUGAGUACACAUCAACAUACUCAGCAAGUAUCCUGUCUGGCUGUAGUGGACUAGCUGUAUGUGGGGAUAAGUCAAGCAGUUGCUUUUAGUUGGUCAGAUUAUUACUUACUAGUAGAAAGCCAAGUUUUAGCAUUAACCCAAGUUAUUAACCCGAUGUACCCUUUCCAAACGGAAAGAAUACCACUUACCAGCACCAUAGUCAUAACCAAAACCAUCAAUCUCAU